rnacentral:rRNA from 1 species
GACGUAGGGCGCGAGCGUUGUCCGGAUUUAUUGGGCGUAAAGAGCUCGUAGGCGGCUCGUUGCGUCGGCUGUGAAAACCCGCAGCUCAACUGUGGGCUUGCAGCUGAUACGGGCGGGCUGGGAUUCGGUAGGGGAGACUGGAAUUCCUGGUGUAGCGGUGAAAUGCGCAGAUAUCAGGAGGAACACCGGUGGCGAAGGCGGGGUCUCUGGGCCGAUAUCGACGCUGAGGAGCGAAAGCGUGGGGAGCGAACAGG